rfam:Felis catus c515102625.Contig1, whole genome shotgun sequence.
GAUGGCAGCUGUCAGCCUUGCAGGAAGCCCACUAUUAAAAGGAAACAAAAGUGUCAUUAGGAGCCCUGCUGUCGCUGUGGAUUGAGCCUGCAUGCUGCCCUGAGGGCUGGACCGCAUUCGCAGGGCUGAGAAAGCAGCUGGAGGCCUUGACCGUGAGGGCCUCUGAAA